CCCAUACACUCUGUCUCACAUCUGAUCCUUGGUGGGAAGUGUUUUAAAGUAGAACUAUGUAUGAAUUUCAGAAUUCAUGCAUUUUAAAACUUCACUAAGAUAUUGUCUCAUAUCUUUAUGAGAAUGUCAGCUGACUUUUCAACUAACAGUAAAUGUAUUUUAGAUAUCUAAAUCUUUUGAAAUUUGGUUUUACAAUUUCUGGUCCCUAAUUGUGAAGACAAGAGGCAGAAGUACCCAGUCACUACCCAUAUUUACACUGAACGUUAUUAAAUAAAAUGAUGUGUAUUUUAUUAUAAAAUAAAUAUAGGCCUUGUUAUCUCAAAAAACAGAUCUGGUUCAAACUUAUUAUACCAAUAUCAUACUAUUUAAAUGUUCUAAGUAAACAAGCCAUGUGAGCAUCAAGUGGCAUUGGCUCUUUGGAUGAAACAUAAACUUAAGGUGAUUGUAUCAACACAUAGAGUGACUGAAAUUAAAUGGGAGGCAGGUAGAGCAUAUGUCCAUCUGUCCACCUACAGGCAUGACUAAACUACAGCUCAUAUUCCACAAAUUUGAGAUUUGUCUUGCCUGGUUUGUUUAGUGAGUCUCAUCUGAUGUACCUAAAGCCUGAGAGUACUGAGGUCUGAUUUUAUAUCUUUCCUGAAUAAACUAAAUCUUUUUUGUCACUUAUCAUCUUAAUGAUAUACCUAAGGAAUAAUUCUUUGGCAUGUUUCAGUUGUGUGUGGCAGCCACUGUAAUGACUCUUCUCUAAGAAAGGCUGUCAGGAGUUAAUUAUAAGGCAGGCAGUGAGCGCUCUAGUCACUGCCUUCCCACGCUGCCAUCACUGCAUUCAUGGGAAUCAGUGACGUUCUCGAAAUGGCAAACGCUGCUGCUUUUCCUUAUUUGGAAUCCUAAAAUCAAAAGUUGCAUUAAACUUACUGUGUUCUCUUCUCCCUCUCAGCCAUAAAUGUAAAAUUCAGUAAGUAAAAAUAUUUAAAGAGUGUAUCAGCCCUUUGGCCAGUGAGAUAGCUCAGUAGAUAAAGGCAUUUGCUGCCAAGUCCUCAACCUCAAUUCAGACUCUGGGGGACACAUGGCGAAGGGAGGAGCCAACUACCCCAUCAUUGUCCUCUGACUUCCACACACUCCAUGGCUUGCGCCCCUCCCCACAGACACACACCAUGUACUCCACAAAAGUAGUUUAAAGGAAAAAAAGAAUAGAACCCACUGUGUAAUGGAAUAAGUAUUAUGUAGUUACUUAACAACUUGUAAAAAUCUGGAAACUAUGAUUUGGUUCCCCUUUGAAUCUAGAGUUUAAAAAACAGAUGGCUAAAAUCAGCCAUCAUUUAAAUAAUUAAAAAUAAAAGCCCCAAACCCCAAACUGCCUAAAUAAAUACCAAGUAAUCCAGGAAGCCGUCAUGUGUGGUUUGUAUGACCAGUAGUUCUCUGGUACAGAGCAUGUUAAGAUUUGCCCCAGCCUGAUUCUCUGAGGUCUCUGCAUUACUGAGUACUGUUCUGAGUAUAAAAUCUGAACUGAUUUCUCUAGAAAUACUGUAACAAAAAGGUAUUUUAGUCAGCAUGUUAUGUUAACCCUUCCACUGUCUAGAAACUUGAAUAAGCACAUAAAGACACCUUUUGCUGUCAUCAUCUGUUGUCCUGGAAUGUGCCAGUUUUAAUUUAUUCAUUCUAAUGAUAUUCAAUUUGCUUUUCUUUUUUAGAUGUUUUUCUUGUUUAGAGUAAAAGGACGAAUUUUUCAAGAACCUUGCAUCUCUGAUUUGGCCUAAGGUCAAAUUGGAUAUUGAGUAGUCUAUUCCAGGGCAGAUUUCCUAAGCAAUACUUGUCUUUUCAGCUAUGUAUUGUUUUGAAAUGUUUCCAUUUCAACAGAGGUGUAAGUCAUGUGAAAAGAAAGGUGGUGUAGCCCUUGUGGUAAUGACACAAGUUGACUUGCGUCAGAUGUUAAGCAGGGACAGUUCUCCCACCUCCUGGCUGUAAGGAGUGGAAACUAGGCAAGCAGUGUAUCAGUCCACAGAGGACAGGAAGGGUCAUCCCAUAAAGAAAGCCUGUGAGUAUGGCUUUGGCAAAAAAUUAGACAUAAUACUGUCCUUUUAGGUUGUGCUCUGUUCUUUCCUUUCAGUGGAAUUAUUUAAGCUCUUUAGUGGCCUUUGUUUUUCCCACUUAAAAACUAAAAUGUAGCAUAUAUUGUAUAAAAUGGAAAUAUUAAUAGCUUAGGGAAACUGUACAUAAGGCAUUGACAGGUUUAAAAAAAGCAUUUUUAUUAUGCAGUUGUAAAACACCAAAAAUAUAGAUUCAUCUUGAUAUGUAACACUAAGUGUAUUUUGUACAGCAUCUGAUUUGAAAGGUGCCUUAUGAAGUUUACCAUUAAUUGCUUUGUUCUAUAUACAGAUUAUGUCCAAUGUAUCAUUUUUCAGUAAAUAACCUUAUUUUAGU
rnacentral:lncRNA from 1 species